ensembl:lncRNA
GAGUCAGAAGCAACUGAACUUUUUGUUGAAGUGAGAUAGUACCCUCAUUGAUAUUGUUUUGUUUUGUGGCACUGGGCUUUGACCAGGCACCUAACCUCCCCCUUAUCUUCGUUUUCCUCCAGGGCCCGCAACAACAGCUUCCUGGCCAAGGUGAUCCCUGCAUGCCAUGGGCUCCGGGAGCCAGACCACCCCGCGGAGCUGAAGCCCCCUCCUCCCUGCGCCUGGCCCUGCUCCAGGUAAGGAGCAGAGGCUGUGGAAGCAGAGGCUGGAUGGCCAUCUGUCGGGGGUGCUUUGAAUGCGAUUUCCUGCUUCUUGGCAGGGGGUUGGACUGGAUGGCCCAUGAGGUCUCUUCCAACUCUACUAUUCUAUGAUUCUAUGAUAAACCAAGAGGAGGAACAGCAGGGCUGCCGUAGUGCUAAAUUCCAGGAUCUCAACCUCAGCCACCAGAAAAGCAAAGUACAACUUCCCUCAAUCUGGACCAGGCAUGGGCCAACUUUGGCCCUCCCUCCGGGUGUUUUGGACUUCAACUCCCACAAUUCCUAACAGCCGGUAGGAAUUGUGUCCCAGCCAGUUUCUCUUCCUCCCUGCAGAACAUUUCCAGGCGGCUGAACAGUGAGAAGCUAUCAGAUGCUUCCAGGUAAAGAGGAGAACCAGCCUUGUUCUCAUUUGGGGCAGCGGGUGGAGGGAAGUGCUCCAUGCCAAGACAGAGACUCAGUUGCUGGUGAUUAUUUCAGUCGUUGCCAAACCUCUCGCCCGGCGUGCUCUUUCUCCCCUCUGUGAUUCAGCCUGGAGAUCCUGAUGCCGCGGCCCAGCCGGAUCCCCAUCCGCAGGAAGCCGGCCGGGCAGACCCAGCACCUGGUCCAGCUCCAGAGCUGCAUGGAUGACUCUGCCCUCAAGGUCUGGAAACUGAACACCUCUCAGUUGCCAACACAGAGUUCCCUGCCAGAGUUCCCGCUGGAGGUGCCCGACCUGACAGUCGCGGGGCAGAGAGAGGAGCCUCUUUUUCUCUGCGACCCUCCCAAGGUUUUGCUGGACGAGCAUCUCGCGGGGCAGGCAGACUCCCCGCAGCUCACCUACCACAAGAUCCUCUCCUUCUGCACCGAGGCCUGACUGGCCGGGAGGGGCAAGGGUGCGGCGGCCGGCCACCUCCGCCUCCACCUCCACGGGCACCGCCACCAGCAGCACCGCCCCGGAGCCAGAACCGGCCCCCCCUGCGGCGGCCCUGCGGACGACGGCGCCCUGCCCCUCCGCCUCCCCCCAGCGCCACCCUCCUCUUGGCCCCCUCCCGCGCCCCCAGCCCUGCCUCUUCAAGCCCAAGCGGCUCUUUGGGACCCCGGAGCCCCUGCUCCUGGCGCUUGGCCGCCUCCCCACGUUUAAGGCCCCCAGGCCCCCAACGUGCAGACCGCCUCCGAAGACACCCAAGGCCUGAAGGGGAGCGGCGGGGCGGCAGGGCCCUCACCCCUUCCUCGUUGCCCUCCUGGGGGGCCCGGCCCCGCAUCUCCUCUCUCUCGACUCUGUCCUGCCUCAAGGAUCCGACAGCUGCCUUCCUUUCUCUCCUGCCUGAGAUGCCGGGAGUCCGCCCGCCGGCCACUCUUGGGCAGCCUGCCUCCCGACCAGCAGCCUUGGGAAGUGGGGUUCGGGGGUUCACAACACGGCAAAGCAAGCCUGCCCAGCCCAGCCCUUCCCCUCCCGGGCCCUUUCUGCAGCUGUACAUAGUUGAUUCCUGGGCCGGAGACUUAUUUUUGAAAUGA